rnacentral:misc_RNA from 1 species
GCUGCACUUGUAUCAGCAGCAGAGGUUCACUUUUAAUUUUAAAUUUUGUUCAUUUCCCUUUGUAUUAGAUUUUCUUUUAGUAACACGAGUUUUAGUACUUGGUUCCACUAACAAAUUAUGGGUUUAGAGAGAAUCACACCCCAUGAUUGCUUUCUGCUAUAAUCACUUGGUUUCCUUUCCCUCUAGCUAAUUAGUUCACCUUAAAGUCUUAUGUGUAUAUUCUUCUUGAUCUUGCAUUGAUCCGAACCUGGAUUGUUU